CAGGAUGAACGCUAGCUACAGGCUUAACACAUGCAAGUCGAGGGGCAGCAUGAAGUUUGCUUGCAAACUUGAUGGCGACCGGCGCACGGGUGAGUAACGCGUAUCCAACCUGGCCCGCAGUAGGGAACAGCCCGGCGAAAGUCGGAUUAAUGCCCUAUGUCUUCCUUUGCAGGCAUCCAAUGAGGAAGAAAGAUUUAUCGCUGCGGGAUGGGGAUGCGUCUGAUUAGCUUGUCGGCGGGGUAACGGCCCACCGAGGCGACGAUCAGUAGGGGUUCUGAGAGGAAGGUCCCCCACACUGGUACUGAGACACGGACCAGACUCCUACGGGAGGCAGCAGUGAGGAAUAUUGGUCAAUGGGCGAGAGCCUGAACCAGCCAAGUAGCGUGCAGGAACCGACUGCCCUAUGGGUUGUAAACUGCUUUUAUGCGGGGAUAAACUUCAGCACGUGUGCUGUUUUGCAGGUACCGCAUGAAUAAGGACCGGCUAAUUCCGUGCCAGCCGCGGC
rnacentral:rRNA from 1 species